rnacentral:lncRNA from 1 species
GGCCGAUGUGCAUGUCCCCAAGGAGUUAAGGAAGAAAGGGGACAGGAGGUCGAUCAAAUUAAGAUUCAUAGGGUAUGAGCCUGUGUCCAAGGCUUACAAAUUUUGUGGAAAUGACAAAAGGAUUGUCAUCUCAAGAUCAGCCACCUUCUAUGAGAGCACAAACUGGAGCAGAAUCCACUCCAAUGAGAUUCUGGCUCCCAAACAAGCCCAUGAUUCGGCCAGCAAAGAUAAAAAUGUGUUGCAAACCUCAUCUAAUGAUGGGGACACAUCUGGCUCAGGAGGUAGUGGAGAGAGGGCAAUCUCCAUGCCCCUAAAGGGAAUGCUCAAGAAGCAAGUGGGGGAAGCCCAGAAGAAGGGGCAUCCCAAAAUUAAAACUGGUAAAAUUAAUAGUGAUGAAGCUGGUGACAAUUUGGAUGAUUUGGAUGAUUCAAAUUGUGAACAGGAGCCAGUCAGUAGACCAAUCCGGACUACUAGAAAUAAGAAACCUGAAAGGUUUAGUGAUUUCAUCACUAAUGUAAAUUUGGCAUCGACCACUUAUCAAAGAUAUGAGGAUGUUUUAAAGCUAUCUCCAAAAGAGCAGGGAAAUUGGCAUGCUGCUAUGGAUUUGGAGAUGAACAGCCUCAGGAAGCUGGAGGUGUUCACCCCUGCUAAAUUGCCAAAAGAUAAGAAAGCAAUUGGCACAAGGUGGGUUUAUAAGAAGAAGCCACUGGAUGAUGGGAACUUCUUAUACAAGGCGAGAUUGGUGGCACAGGGAUUCUCGCAGAGAUACCCUGAGGAUUUUGAUGACACCUUCUCACCCACAGUACGCCCUGAGAGCGUAAAGACAGCUCUCACCAUAGCAGCCAUACAUGGGGAGAGUGUUCUGCAGUUUGACAUACAAACGGCCUAUUUGCACGCCAAAUUGGACAAGGAAAUCUAUGUAAGGGCACCUCCGGGUGUAGAUCAUAGAGAAGAUGAAAUCUGGCUUCUUAACAAAAGUCUCUAUGGUCUGAAGCAGUCUGGGAGAAGGUGGUAUGAAUGCCUUACCAAGUGUCUAAGGCAAAUAGGCUUCACCGCCUCACCAGCUGAUGAAUGUGUUUUCAUCAGGCAGCAAGAUGGUAUCAAGGAAACUGUCCUUGUAUACGUUGAUGACAUUUUGUACAUCAGCAAAUCAGAGGAGAAGUGUAAAUCCUUCUCUGAUCAGGUAAGUAGAAAGUUUGCACUGAAGCCUCUAGGCCAGAUUGAC